rnacentral:rRNA from 1 species
CCUUACACAUGCAAGUCGAAACGGUAACAGGUCUUCGGAUGCUGACGAGUGGCGAACGGGUGAGUAAUACAUCGGAACGUGCCCGAUCGUGGGGGAUAACGGAGCGAAAGCUUUGCUAAUACCGCAUACGAUCUACGGAUGAAAGCAGGGGACCGCAAGGCCUUGCGCGGACGGAGCGGCCGAUGGCAGAUUAGGUAGUUGGUGGGAUAAAAGCUUACCAAGCCGACGAUCUGUAGCUGGUCUGAGAGGACGACCAGCCACAUCUGGGACUGAGACACGGCCCAGACUCCUACGGGAGGCAGCAGUGGGGAAUUUUGGACAAUGGGCGAAAGCCUGAUCCAGCCAUGCCGCGUGCAGGAUGAAGGCCUUCGGGUUGUAAACUGCUUUUGUACGGAACGAAAAGACUCCUUCUAAUAAAGGGGGUCCAUGA